rnacentral:lncRNA from 1 species
CGCCCCUUCCGACUGCUGAAGAAGUAGACAUUCAAGUUGCCACGGAAGUCGGAGCAGCCGCUGCAUCAUUACUGGUGGAAGCUGUGCAGGUAAACUUGUUUUCCGAUCUUCCCAAUCGCUAUCUUUAUACUGACUUCUUUUAUAUUAGACUACACAGAUUACCCUUGUGGACCCCCAGCAAUCGGCAGUAGUCCAAGUGAUCGAUAAAACGCCAGCGCUUCCUACUGUCAAGGUAUACCAUCCUUCAACCCGUUCUUCUAAUAUUUGGGUGAUGCUCUUAUUAAAUUUGACACAGGUCACCGGCGCGCUAAGCGUCUCGCCUAAUCAACCAUCGGUCAUCCUUCAAGAAGCUGGCCCGAGCAGAGCGCCGAUUGUUGUUGAGUCUUCUUCUUCCGAUGAGCCAAUGGCUCCAGUCCCAGAGUCGAGGGUGACGGUCUCGCAAACGCAGCUGGAAGAAAUCCGUUUUAAGGAGGUAAAAGAUCUCCCACCCUUAAUUGGCCGAUUUGUUACCACCAUCGGCUGACCUAUUUUUUUUUCUUUUUUCAUUUAUUAUUUUCUAGGAAUAAGACACCCCAAAUAACAGCCUUUUCUCAUUUGCGGUCACUCUCUCCGAUGACGAGGAAGUCGCCUCCCGUCAGGUCACUUUGAGCUCCGUUCCUGAUGACGUCCGUGCCAAGCUCGAAAACAUACGAUCCCUUCUUCAAGAAGACAUCGGCCGAUUGGUAGAAGAUGCUUCGCCGAUUCGGCAGCUCUUUGGUGACGUCAGCGGGCGAGUACCAGAAGAGGCGGAAGAAGCCUUGGCGCCGGCCGCUUAUAUUGAGUCAAUGCGGAUUCCGGUCUUCAGGGCUCUGCGUCACAUGGCCGAUCGCGCCAAACUGACAAGACUCGUGAAGAAGAAGAUCUGUACAAGCGUCAAGCUCAAGAGGUGCAUCAACAGAUUCACUUUCUGGAAGAUUCUUGCCCUGGAAUCGUCGGCACGAUAGAUCGCCUCAAACGCCGACAAGCAGAACUUGCUAAAGAGAUGGAGCGAGUGACCAAAGAAAUAGCCGCCGAAGAGAAGAGGCUUCAGGAACUUCCUUCCGUCAUCGCCGAUCUGAAGCGAGAGAGGCAGCAUCUGGCUCACGAAGCUCUUAAACUCCACCACCACAUGUCAGAAGUCCCAGGAUCGGCGGAGGAUGACCAACGGAUCCUGGACUCGGCCGAUCAGAUCCGGCGUCGAGCGAUUGCGGCUAUCAACGCCCUUUCUAGGCGACCUGUAAAAGCACUGGUAGUCUUGUACGAACAUUAAUGCCUUCUUUGACCGUCCUUCGUGGCGCCCCCUUAUUUAUUUCCCUUUUUACUUCUGAUGGGAUGCAUCUUACCAAACGUCC